CCUACGGGUGGCAGCAGUGGGGGAUAUUGCACAAUGGGGGGAACCCUGAUGCAGCGACGCCGCGUGGGUGAAGAAGCGCCUCGGCGCGUAAAGCCCUGUCAGCAGGGAAGAAAAUGACGGUACCUGAAGAAGAAGCCCCGGCUAACUACGUGCCAGCAGCCGCGGUAAUACGGAGGGGGCAAGCGUUAUCCGGAUUUACUGGGGGUAAAGGGGGCGCAGGCGGGGAUGCAAGUCAGGAGUGAAAGCCCGGGGCCUAACCCCGGGACUGCGUUUGGAACUGCGUGGCUGGAGUGCAGGAGGGGCAGGAGGAAUUCCUGGUGUAGCGGUGAAAUGCGUAGAUAUCAGGAGGAACACUGGUUGCGAAGGCGGCCUGCUGG
rnacentral:rRNA from 1 species